rnacentral:lncRNA from 1 species
CAGGCCCUGUGAUUCAGCAAGGAGUGUAAACCGUGGUUCCUUAAAUAAAGAGGGCACUGGUCCUUGGGUCGUCUGAGACUGAGAAACGGAAGAACUACGAGGCGAAGCCAGGGCAGGGCGGACCCCGGGCAGCUGCCCCUGGCUCSGGUUACCACCUGGUGAAAUGGGCCACGAUGGAUUCAGCUCCGGAUGCGUUGUUCACCACUUAAAGCCCCCAGUGCGGUCACUCCAAGAGAGGAAUCACAAAAGAAAAGGAGAAGCCUAUGCCAGAAAAUUCACACCAGCCUCAUCUGAAAUGGCAAAACCUGCAAGCGACCAAAUGACCAUCGACACAAGAACAAAUAAACGGGCUGGAUCGUAGAGGCAGUGGGAAGGAAUGGAGUAUGGGGACCCAAUACAACAUAAAUAAUGAUGCUGGGUAGAAGAAGCAUGAAUCCUAUGCUUUAUGAUUUGUGCUCUYCACAUGAAGUUAUAGAAAAUUAUAGAAAUUAUAGAAACUAUCUGAUCAUCACAGAAAGCAGAUCGAAGUUUGCUGAGAGACGUGGGGAAGGGCUGGGAGGAAACAGGAGGAGAGAUUACAAGGSGAUCACAUUCUAAUCCCCCCUGGGAAAGCAAACAGUUGGGCCGUGUUCCCAGCUCUCCCCAGGGCAGCUCAGGAGGAGAGAGUGAAAGGGGCCAAGACAGAAGCCUUGGGUUUUUUUGGUAACCUAUUCUCAGAUGGAAUCCCAGGGACUAGGGCGGCUGAGGCAGGAGGAUGGAAAGUUCAAGGCCAGCCUGGGCAAUUUAGCAAGACCCUGUUACAAACUAAAAUAGAAAGGGCUGGGGCUGUAGCUCAGUGGUAGAGCACCUGUCUGGCAUGCAAAUGGAUCAGGUAUUGGAUCCCCCUUACCACAAGGGGAAAAAAGCCACCUCCACUACUGCCACUGUGUCCCAGGCAUCUGAGGAAAGUCAAACCCAACCCACACGCAAGGGACAGGCAACCUAUGAGGGAGCCAUUCCACAGAGGGUGGAUCUUUGGGGUUCUCUUAGGUGCUCCCUGCUGYAAGCCGCAGAGGCCAACACAGGCAUGUUCUGCAGACCUGGCCACAUGAGGUCACGGUAUCUGUGGCCUGGUGGGUCAGAAACACCUCACAAAGACAUUCUUUCCUUCUUAAAAAAAAAAAAAAAAGGUCAUCAUUCCUCCUUCCCCAGUGGUCACAAGAGCUGAAGGUGCCAGCAGAGUUGGCACCCGGUGUCUGRGUGCUCUCCCUUGCCACUAAAACGAGAGCCUGUGAGGAGGACAGGAGAGUCACAGACAUGUGAUGGGUGGUAGAUGGGAGAGGACAUGCCCUGGACCCUCCAAAUGCUCCAGGUUGUUUUCU